rnacentral:rRNA from 1 species
GAUGAACGCUAGCGGCAGGCUUAAUACAUGCAAGUCGAGGGGCAGCAGGGGUAGCAAUACCUGCUGGCGACCGGCAAACGGGUGCGGAACACGUACAGAACUUUCCUUUAAGCGGGGGAUAGCCCAUAGAAAUGUGGAUUAAUACCCCAUAGUAAUGCUGGUUGGCAUCAACUGGUAUUUAAAGAUUUAUCACUUAAAGAUGGCUGUGCGUCUGAUUAGGUAGUUGGUAGGGGUAACGGCCCACCAAGCCAUCGAUCAGUAACUGGUGUGAGAGCACGACCAGUCACACGGGCACUGAGACACGGGCCCACUCCUACGGGAGCAGCAGUAAGGAAUUAUUGGUCAAUGGACGCAAGUCUGAACCAGCCAUGCCGCGUGAAGGAUGAA